rnacentral:rRNA from 1 species
ACUAUGUGUUGUUGGGUAGGGGAGCGUUCUGUAAGCCUGUGAAGGUGUGUCGUGAGGCAUGCUGGAGGUAUCAGAAGUGCGAAUGCUGACAUAAGUAACGAUAAAGCGGGUGAAAAGCCCGCUCGCCGGAAGACCAAGGGUUCCUGUCCAACGUUAAUCGGGGCAGGGUGAGUCGACCCCUAAGGCGAGGCCGAAAGGCGUAGUCGAUGGGAAACGGGUUAAUAUUCCCGUACUUGGUGUUACUGCGAAGGGGGGACGGAGAAGGCUAUGUUGGCCGGGCGACGGUUGUCCCGGUUUAAGCGUGUAGGUGUGUGUUCCAGGUAAAUCCGGUUCACUUUAACACUGAGGCGUGACGACGAGGCACUACGGUGCUGAAGCAACAAAUGCCCUGCUUCCAGGAAAAGCCUCUAAGCAUCAGGUAACAUCAAAUCGUACCCCAAACCGACACAGGUGGUCAGGUAGAGAAUACCAAGGCGCUUGAGAGAACUCGGGUGAAGGAACUAGGCAAAAUGGUGCCGUAACUUCGGGAGAAGGCACGCUGACACGUAGGUGAAGUGAUUUACUCACGGAGCUGAAGUCAGUCGAAGAUACCAGCUGGCUGCAACUGUUUAUUAAAAACACAGCACUGUGCAAACACGAAAGUGGACGUAUACGGUGUGACGCCUGCCCGGUGCCGGAAGGUUAAUUGAUGGGGUCAGCGCAAGCGAAGCUCCUGAUCGAAGCCCCGGUAAACGGCGGCCGUAACUAUAACGGUCCUAAGGUAGCGAAAUUCCUUGUCGGGUAAGUUCCGACCUGCACGAAUGGCGUAAUGAUGGCCAGGCUGUCUCCACCCGAGACUCAGUGAAAUUGAACUCGCUGUGAAGAUGCAGUGUACCCGCGGCAAGACGGAAAGACCCCGUGAACCUUUACUAUAGCUUGACACUGAACAUUGAGCCUUGAUGUGUAGGAUAGGUGGGAGGCUUUGAAGUGUGGACGCCAGUCUGCAUGGAGCCGACCUUGAAAUACCACCCUUUAAUGUUUGAUGUUCUAACGUGGACCCGUAAUCCGGGUUGCGGACAGUGUCUGGUGGGUAGUUUGACUGGGGCGGUCUCCUCC